UAAAGUUAUGAGUUUUCCAUUCCCGAUAGGAUUCGUAAUUUUACGAAGAAGCCUUGUAACCGUAUUUAAUUUAUCAGGGGGAAUUUAUUGUG
rnacentral:sRNA from 2 species